CCCACCUUCUCUCAUGUGAGGGUGAGUAAAACGCGCAUAAACCGCUUUCUUCCCAAGCAGUUUCCUCUUCUCUUCGGAGCGGCGGGGGCUUUUGGUAAGGGUGCGGAGGAUGUGGCGGCUUUUGGAGGGGCUUGCGGCCUAUCAGGUAGUUGGUGGGGUAACAGCCUACCAAGCCAUCGACGGGUAGCUGGUCUGAGAGGAUGGUCAGCCACAUCGGGACUGAGAUACGGCCCAG
rnacentral:rRNA from 1 species